rnacentral:rRNA from 1 species
UUAAAUUGAAGAGUUUGAUCAUGGCUCAGAUUGAACGCUGGCGGCAGGCCUAACACAUGCAAGUCGAACGGUAACAGGAAGAAGGUUGGUUCCUGGCGAGAGAGGGGCGGGCGGG